GGCCGGUUAGCUCAGUUGGUUAGAGCGUGGUGCUAAUAACGCCAAGAUCGUGGGUUCGAUCCCCAUACUGGCCA
rnacentral:tRNA from 1 species